UACGGAGGGUGCGAGCGUUAAUCGGAAUGACUGGGCGUAAAGGGUGCGUAGGUUGUUUUUUAAGUUAGCUGUGAAAUAACUGGGCUUAACCUGGUGAGGUCAGCUAAUACUGGAAGACUAGAGGACAGGAGAGGGUAGUGGAAUUUCCGGUGUAGCGGUGAAAUGCGUAGAGAUCGGAAGGAACACCGGUGGCGAAGGCGGCUACCUGGCCUGUAACUGACACUGAGGCACGAAAGCGUGGGGAGCAAACAGG
rnacentral:rRNA from 1 species